rnacentral:tRNA from 1 species
GCCCGAGUGGUGAAAUCGGUAGACACAAGGGACUUAAAAUCCCUCGCCGCAAGGCGUGCCGGUUCGAGUCCGGCCUCGGGCACCA